rnacentral:rRNA from 1 species
UUCCGGUUGAUCCUGCCGGACCCGACUGCUAUCGGGGUGGCGCUAAGCCAUGGGAGUCGCACAUCCCACCGCCGUGGGGUGUGGCGAACGGCUGAGUAACACGUGGCUAACCUACCCUCGGGACGGGGACAACUCCGGGAAACUGGAGCUUAUCCCCGAUAGGCGGGGAGUCCUGGAACGGUUCUCCGCCCAAAGGGAUGGGAGGGGGUUAUCGCCUUCUAUCCGCCCGAGGAUGGGGCUGCGUCCCAUCAGGUUGUUGGCGGGGUAACGGCCCGCCAAGCCUAUAACGGGUAGGGGCCGUGAGAGCGGGAGCCCCCAGAUGGGCACUGAGACAAGGGCCCAGGCCCUACGGGGCGCACCAGGCGGGAAACCUCCGCAAUGCGGUAACCCGUGACGGGGUCACCCCGAGUGCUCCCCUUAUGGGGAGCUUUUCCCCGCUGCAGGAAGGCGGGGGUAAUAAGUGGGGGGCAAGACUGGUGUCAGCCGCCGCGGUAAUACCAGCCCCACGAGUGGUCGGGACGGUUAUUGGGCCUAAAGCGCCCGUAGCCGGCCCAGCAAGUUCCUGCCUAAAUCACCGGGCUCAACCCGGUGACUGGUGGAAUACUGCUGGGCUAGGAGGCGGGAGAAGCCGAGGGUACUCCUAGGGGUAGGGGCGAAAUCCUAUAAUCCUAGGAGACCACCAGUGGCGAAGGCGCCCGGCUGACGCGCUCGACGGUGAGGGGCGAAAGCUGGGGGAGCAAACCGGAUAAAUACCCGGUAGUCCCA